rnacentral:lncRNA from 1 species
UGAUACAGGAUCGGAGCCUCAGAGAGACAUAAAAGUCUCGAUUAACCAAUUAACAGUCAUCAAAAAAAAUUAUUUUUCUCAGAUAAUCGAAGAAAAACUUCAGCGAAAGCUUCAUCAAGCAUCGAUAACACAUAACAGGGAAUGAUUGGAAGAUUUUCCCGCUCUAAUACCAUAUUUUGGUCUAUUUGAUUAAGAUCGGAAGAGUAACACAUAACAGGGAAGGAUCGGAAGAUUUUCCCGCUCUGAUACCAUGAAAACAUGGAGAUUUGGAGAAGAAAACCAGAGAAGAUGAAGAUGAACAGUGAGAAGUAGAGAGAGAGAUGAGAAGCUUCUGGAGGAAACUCGAGAAGCA